UACGAAGGGUGCAAACGUUGCUCGGAAUUAUUGGGCGUAAAGCGCACGUAGGCGGCUUAGUAAGUUGGAUGUGAAAUCCCUCGGCUUAACCAAGGAAGUGCAUCCAAAACUACUGAGCUUGAGUACUAAAGAGGAUCGCGGAAUUCCCGGUGUAGAGGUGAAAUUCGUAGAUAUCGGGAGGAACACCAGUGGCGAAGGCGGCGAUCUGGGUAGAUACUGACGCUGAGGUGCGAAAGCGUGGGGAGCAAACAGGG
rnacentral:rRNA from 1 species